rnacentral:lncRNA from 1 species
CCGAUCUUUAAGAAAUCAGGCCUUCUACUUUGCUCGUGUUAGGAUGAGGUUUUUCUCCUGUUCCUAACGCGCUUAAUUUUAUUUGUAUGGGGGAGUUAUUUCCUGUCAUUAUAAGCUCAUGCCAAAAGAAAAAAUAUGCAAAUAUAAAAGAAAUUUUUAUUUAGGGCAAAGUUGUUGGUAAUACAUUCAUAGAUUUUUUGAAUUCUA